rnacentral:rRNA from 1 species
GACGAACGCUGGCGGCGUGCCUAAUACAUGCAAGUAGAACGCUGAAGCGAGGAGCUUGCUCUUCUUGGGUGAGUUGCGCACGGGUGAGUAACGCGUAGGUAACCUGCCUGGUAGCGGGGGAUGACUAUUGGAAACGAUAGCUAAUACCGCAUAAAAUGGAGUAUCGCAUGAUAAUCCAUUGAAAGGUGCAAAUGCAUCACUACCAGAUGGACCUGCGUUGUAUUAGCUAGUUGGUGGGGUAACGGCUCACCAAGGCGACGAUACGUAGCCGACCUGAGAGGGUGGGCGGCCAGACUGGGAGGGUGACAGGGCCCAGACGCCUACGGGAGGCAGCAGGAGGGAAUCGUGGGGAAUGGACGGAAGACAGACCGAGCAACGCCGAGGGAGGGAAGAAGGAUGUCGGGUCGGAAAGCUCGGUUGUAAGGGAAGAACGAGUGUGAGAGUGGAAAGUUCACAGUGUGACGGUAUCUGACCAGGAAGGGACGGCUAACUACGUG